rnacentral:rRNA from 1 species
GAUGAACGCUGGCGGCGUGCCUAACACAUGCAAGUCGAGCGAUUCUCUUCGGAGGAGAGCGGCGGACGGGUGAGUAACGCGUGGGUAACCUGCCCUGUACACACGGAUAACAUACCGAAAGGUAUGCUAAUACGGGAUAAUAUAAGAAAUUCGCAUGUUUUUCUUAUCAAAGCUCCGGCGGUACAGGAUGGACCCGCGUCUGAUUAGCUAGUUGGUGAGGUAAUGGCUCACCAAGGCGACGAUCAGUAGCCGACCUGAGAGGGUGAUCGGCCACAUUGGAACUGAGACACGGUCCAAACUCCUACGGGAGGCAGCAGUGGGGAAUAUUGCACAAUGGGCGAAAGCCUGAUGCAGCAACGCCGCGUGAGCGAUGAAGGCCUUCGGGUCGUAAAGCUCUGUCCUCAAGGAAGAUAAUGACGGUACUUGAGGAGGAAGCCCCGGCUAACUGCGUGCCAGCCGCCGCCGUAACAC